GAUGAAGAACGUAGUGAAAUGCGAUAAGUAAUGUGAAUUGCAGAAUUCAGUGAAUCAUCGAAUCUUUGAACGCACAUUGCGCCCGCCAGUAUUCUGGCGAGCAUGCCUGUUCGAGCGUCAUUUCAACCAUCAAGCCCCAGGCUUGUGCUGGAGCCCUGCGGCUGCCGCAGCCUCCCAAAACCAGUGGCGGGCUCGCUAUCACACCGAGUGCAGUAGUUUACUCUUCGCUCAGGGCGUGUGGCGGGUGCUAGCCGUGAAACCCCCAACUUCUCAAGGUUGACCUCGGAUCAGGUAGGAAUACCCGCUGAACUUAAGCAUAUCAAUAAGCGGAGGA
rnacentral:misc_RNA from 1 species